CAGCCGGAGGAAGAUGAGCUGACCGCGGCCGUGAUUAGGCUGAGGAUGCUUAACGUCACCCUGCUGUACAUGACAUUAGACCAGGAGAUCGCACAGCCAGGCCACAGUGGGUAAGGGGAAACACUUUGGUCAUGCUUUAAAGAAAGCAACAUUGACAGGUGGAAGGAGACAGGAGGCAAAAAGGGGUAUCUGGUGGCUAGUUGUAUUGACACCGAACGUCCAGAAGAGAUCACUCUUGUUCUGCAUUUGGACUGGAACUGUGGACUUCACUCGGCUUUUAACUGAGGCAUCAGUCAGUGUAUCUUUGUGCUUUUUAUGUUUUAAUUGCAGAGGUAUGAAAGAGAGAAAGAGAGAGACCAUUGUGACUGAGAAAACAAAAAGCAAAUGUCACCUUGCAGGUGGAGUGACAAAACUGUCAAUAUUUGAACGUAGGAGCCAAACCUCAGAGAUGUCUAAUUGCCUGAUCCAGCUAGACCAGCGAAAAGAACCCCAUUCAAAUUGGACUCACCCUGUUUCUAAUCACAUUGAAGAUUGUAGAAGAAAAUACAAUCGGCCCAUUCAAAAAGCAAUCAAAUUAUAAUUCAACCUAUUAUGAUGAUCAAUAAACAAUUAACAUUUUUUUCUGAGCAGAGCCUGACUCAGCCAUAUUGUAAAUGAAUCUCCAUCAAUGAAACAUCUCAAAUCUAGAAAGUAAUGUUCUAAAAUGAUCCAAUUUUAUCAAAAGCUUGAAGAAAUAGCUUGAUGCCAUUGAAACGCUGGACCCGAUUUUCAUAUAAAAGUCACACUAGAACAAACAUUAGAAUAAUUUAAUGCUCAAUAACUUUAGCUGAUUGCAUUUGAUGUAGAGACAACGCAUUCUUAAUAAACCUCCACUACUUUGUGGACAAUGGUGUCACUCAACAUGCUUUAUACAUCACCAACUCCGCCUAUAAAAAGUCACUUUUCCAACACUAUGCUGAUAUCAUUCCUACCUCUAUGGAUCACUUAUGAGAUUGAAUGUUGGUAAUAUCUAAUAGCACUUCUUACAUGUGACAGUCAUAAACAUGUCAGUCACAGGAUGCUUAAUGUGAUGAUAGCUUGGCUGCUGUAAUAGGACACUACCAUUAGCCUUCUAGAUUUAGCAUUCAUGUUCUCAACUGGCCACUUUAGUAAAUAAGCAAACCUUAACUGUUUCAGAUAUAUUUUACACAGUGUGACCUUUUGCUAAUGAAAGGAACUCUU